rnacentral:rRNA from 1 species
GACGAACGCUGGCGGCGUGCCUAAUACAUGCAAGUCGAGCGCAGGAAAUCGACGGAACCCUUCGGGGGGAAGUCGACGGAAUGAGCGGCGGACGGGUGAGUAACACGUAAAGAACCUGCCCUCAGGUCUGGGAUAACCACGAGAAAUCGGGGCUAAUACCGGAUGGGUCAUCGGACCGCAUGGUCCGAGGAUGAAAGGCGCUCCGGCGUCGCCUGGGGAUGGCUUUGCGGUGCAUUAGCUAGUUGGUGGGGUAAUGGCCCACCAAGGCGACGAUGCAUAGCCGACCUGAGAGGGUGAUCGGCCACACUGGGACUGAGACACGGCCCAGACUCCUACGGGAGGCAGCAGUAGGGAAUCUUCCACAAUGGACGAAAGUCUGAUGGAGCAACGCCGCGUGAACGAUGAAGGCCUUCGGGUCGUAAAGUUCUGUUGUAAGGGAAGAACAAGUGCCGCAGGCAAUGGCGGCACCUUGACGGUACCUUGCGAGAAAGCCACGGCUAACUACGUGCCAGCCGCCGCGGUAAGAC